UACGUAGGGGGCAAGCGUUAUCCGGAUUUACUGGGUGUAAAGGGAGCGUAGGUGGUAUGGCAAGUCAGAAGUGAAAACCCAAGGCUCAACCAUGGGAUUGCUUUUGAAACUGUUGUGCUAGAGUGCUGGAGGGGUAAGUGGAAUUCCUAGUGUAGCGGUGAAAUGCGUAGAUAUUAGGAGGAACACCGGUGGCGAAGGCGGCUUACUGGACAGUAACUGACACUGAGGCUCGAAAGCGUGGGGAGCAAACAGG
rnacentral:rRNA from 1 species